rnacentral:rRNA from 1 species
CCAGACUCCUACGGGAGGCAGCAGUGAGGAAUAUUGGUCAAUGGCCGAGAGGCUGAACCAGCCAAGUCGCGUGAGGGAAGACGGCCCUACGGGUUGUAAACCUCUUUUGUCGGGGAGCAAAGCGAGUCACGUGUGACUCAUUGAGAGUACCCGAAGAAAAAGCAUCGGCUAACUCCGUGCCAGCAGCCGCGGUAAUACGGAGGAUGCGAGCGUUAUCCGGAUUUAUUGGGUUUAAAGGGUGCGCAGGCGGAGGUGCAAGUCAGCGGUCAAAUUGCGGGGCUCAACCCCGUACUGCCGUUGAAACUGCAUCCCUUGAGUGCGCGAGAAGUAUGCGGAAUGCGUGGUGUAGCGGUGAAAUGCAUAGAUAUCACGCAGAACUCCGAUUGCGAAGGCAGCUUACUAAACUAUAACUGACACUGAAGCACGAAAGCGUGGGGAUCAAACAGGAUUAGAUACCCCAGUA